rnacentral:lncRNA from 1 species
CCUUCCACGACAGCUUCCUUGGGGCCCAGAUAUUGUUCUCAUAGCUUCAGCCUACUCAACUUGAAGACAAGAAAGAAGUUCUUUAUGAUGACCACUUCUACUUAGUGAAUACAUCAUU